AGGUUAAGUUAAUAAGGGCGCACGGUGGAUGCCUAGGCACUAGGAGCCGAUGAAGGACGUGACGAACGACGACAUGCUUUGGGGAGCUGUAAGUAAGCCUUGAUCCAGAGAUAUCCGAAUGGGGGAACCCAACAGGUAAUGCCUGUUAUCCAUAACUGUUAAGGUUAUGAGAAGGAAGACGCAGUGAACUGAAACAUCUCAGUAGCUGCAGGAAGAGAAAGCAAGAGCGAUUGCCUCAGUAGCGGCGAGCGAAGAGGCAGGAGGGCAAACCAGAGUGUUUACACUCUGGGGUUGUAGGACUGCGAUAAAGCAGCCAAGGGAAUAGAAGAAGACUCUGGGAAGAGUCGCCAGAGAGAGUAAGAGCCUCGUAUUUGAAAUUCACUUGAUGCCAAGCAGGAUCCUGAGUACGGCGGGACACGAGGAAUCCCGUCGGAAUCUGGGAGGCCCAUCUCCCAACCCUAAAUACUCCCUAGUGACCGAUAGUGAACCAGUACCGUGAGGGAAAGGUGAAAAGUACCCCGGAAGGGGAGUGAAAGAGAACCUGAAACCGUGUGCUUACAAGAAGUUCGAGCCCGUUAAUGGGUGAGAGCGUGCCUUUUGUAGAAUGAACCGGCGAGUUACGUUUACGUGCGAGGUUAAGUUGAAGAGACGGAGCCGUAGGGAAACCGAGUCUGAAAAGGGCGGUUAAGUACGUAGAUGUAGACCCGAAACCAAGUGACCUACCCAUGAGCAGGUUGAAGGUGCGGUAAAACGCACUGGAGGACCGAACCAGGACACGUUGAAAAGUGUUUGGAUGACUUGUGGGUAGCGGAGAAAUUCCAAACGAACUUGGAGAUAGCUGGUUCUCUCCGAAAUAGCUUUAGGGCUAGCGUCGGUCGCGAGACUCUUGGAGGUAGAGCACUGUUUGAUUGAGGGGUCCAUCCCGGAUUACCAAUCUCAGAUAAACUCCGAAUGCCAACGAGUUAAGACCGGCAG
rnacentral:rRNA from 1 species